rnacentral:rRNA from 1 species
UACGUAGGGGGCUAGCGUUGUCCGGAAUCAUUGGGCGUAAAGAGCGCGUAGGCGGCCAGAUAAGUCCGGUGUAAAAGUCACGGGCUCAACCUGUGAAUGCCGCUGGAAACUGUCUGGCUUGAGUCCGGGAGGGGCGAGUGGAAUUCCUGGUGUAGCGGUUAAAUGCGUAGAGAUGGGGGAGAACACUCGUGGCGAAGGCGGCCAGCUAGACCAGUUCUGACACUGAGGCGCGACAGCGUGGGGAGCAAACAGG